rnacentral:tRNA from 1 species
CGCGAGAUGGAGAAGUUGGAAUCUCGACGGGCUCAUAACCCGUAGGUCGCAGGUCCGAGUCCUGCUCUCGCUA